GAUGAAGAACGUAGCGAAAUGCGAUAAGUAAUGUGAAUUGCAGAAUUCAGUGAAUCAUCGAAUCUUUGAACGCAUCUUGCGCUCCUUGGUAUUCCUUGGAGCAUGCCUGUUUGAGUAUCAUGAGCAAAUCUCAAAGUCAAUUCCUUUUGUUGAUUCAAUUGGUUUUGCUUUGGACUUGGAGGCCUUGCAGAUUUCACAGUCUGCUCCUCUUAAAUGCAUUAGCUGGAUCUCAGUAAUUAUGCUUGGUUCCACUCGGCGUGAUAAGUAUCCCUCGCUGAGGACACUGUUAAAAAGGUGGCAAGGAAAAUACUGAUUGAACCGCUUCUAACGGUCUAUUAAGUUAGACAAUUACCCUUAAGUUUGAUCUCAAAUCAGGUAGGACUACCCGCUGAACUUAAGCAUAUCAAUAAGCGGAGGA
rnacentral:misc_RNA from 1 species